UGAUGGCGGCAUCAGGUUUACGGCCUCUGAGGCCGAUGAGGGAACCUACGAAUGUAAAGCCAGCAAUACGUACGGCAAGACGACAGCGCCCCUCAGUCUCAAAGUCAGACAUCGCCCGAAGUCUUCGGCACAAAUGUUCAACGCGAGCGCUGUGGUCGGAGAUGACAUGACCCUGACCUGCGUGGUGCGGGGGCCCGACCGAAGCCGCGCGUCACGUGGUUCCGACACGGCCGCCAGAUUGACGAUGACACGGAGAAGUACAGUCGAACCAGUGGUCAUUCGCUGACCGUGCUGGACGUACAGCCGACCGACGCCGGCCUCUACAGCUGCGUGGCAAACAACUCCAUCGGUAGUCUCACCAAGCUGACCAC